AAACUAGUGAAAUUUGUUUUGAAAACGUUUUUGAGAAUUUGAUAUUCUAUAGUUUUA
rnacentral:tRNA from 1 species